GUAAGUUGAAGCCUUAAAGAAUCAACAAUGACUAACUCAAUAAUAAGGAGAGUAAAUUUACUCCAGGCAGAUUGAGUCACAGAUUUGUCAUUGGCAUCCAAAACAUUGCCUGUGAGUUCUACAUCAUUGGAACAAUGAAGAUAAGGAUAAUUUGUCCUUGUGCUAAGAAGGAGCCCUAAAAAACCGGAGUUAUACAUUUCAACUGUGUUGAAGAGGUACAUAUGACAAGGAAUUGAGGGUGGCCUCUGGCCAACCGGCAGCAGGAAAAGAAAUUCUCAGGCCAAAUGCCUUUAAGGAAUGGAAUCCUACCAACUACUUCAAGUGAGUUUGGAAGCAGAUUUUUCCCUACUCAAGCUUUUUUUUCUGAGAAUAUGGCCCUAGGUAACACCUUACUGAGCAGCUUUUUGGGAGACCCUUAAACUGAGGACUCA